CUACGGGGUGCUGCAGUGGGGAAUAUUGGACAAUGGGGGAAACCCUGAUCCAGCAAUGCCGCGUGUGUGAAGAAGGCCUGUGGGUUGUAAAGCACUUUCGGUUGGGAGGACUGCUUCUAGCACUAAUAUUGUUGGAAGUUGACGUUACCUUCAGAAGAAGCACCGGCUAACUCCGUGCCAGCAGCCGCGGUAACACGGAGGGUGCAAGCGUUAAUCGGAAGUACUGGGCGUAAAGCGCGCGUAGGCGGCUAGAUCAGUCGGGUGUGAAAGCCCCGGGCUUAACCUGGGAACUGCAUCCGAUACUGUCUAGCUUGAGUACAGGAGAGGAGAGUGGAAUUCCACAUGUAGCGGUGAAAUGCGUAGAUAUGUGGAGGAACACCAAUGGCGAAGGCAGCUCUCUGGCCUGAUACUGACGCUGAGGUGCGAAAGCGUGGGGAGCAAACAGGAUUAGAUACCCCAGUAGUC
rnacentral:rRNA from 1 species